rnacentral:rRNA from 1 species
UACAGAGGUCUCAAGCGUUGUCCGGAAUCAUUGGGCGUAAAGGGCGCGUAGGUGGUUCUGUAUGUCUACCGUGAAAGCGUACGGCUCAACCGUAUUUUGUCGGUGGAAACUGCAGGACUUGAGGCUGGGGGAGGGCUGGUGGAAUUCCCUGUGUAGCGGUGAAAUGCGUAGAGAUGGGGGAGAACACUCGUGGCGAAGGCGGCCAGCUAGACCAGUUCUGACACUGAGGCGCGACAGCGUGGGGAGCAAACAGGAUUGA